rnacentral:rRNA from 1 species
UUGGUGGGGUAACGGCCUACCAAGCCGACGAUCAGUAGCCGACCUGAGAGGGUGACCGCCCACAUUGGGACUGAGACACGGCCCAAACUCCUACGGGAGGCAGCAGUGGGGAAUAUUGCACAAUGGGGGAAACCCUGAUGCAGCGACGCCGCGUGAGCGAUGAAGUAUUUCGGUAUGUAAAGCUCUAUCAGCAGGGAAGAAAAUGACGGUACCUGACUAAGAAGCACCGGCUAAAUACGUGCCAGCAGCCGCGGUAAUACGUAUGGUGCAAGCGUUAUCCGGAUUUACUGGGUGUAAAGGGAGCGUAGACGGAGUGGCAAGUCUGAUGUGAAAACCCGGGGCUCAACCCCGGGACUGCAUUGGAAACUGUCAAUCUAGAGUACCGGAGAGGUAAGCGGAAUUCCUAGUGUAGCGGUGAAAUGCGUAGAUAUUAGGAGGAACACCAGUGGCGAAGGCGGCUUACUGGACGGUAACUGACGUUGAGGCUCGAAAGCGUGGGGAGCAAACAGGAUUAGAUACCCUGGUAGUCCACGCCGUAAACGCUGAAUAUGGGGUGUCGGGCAGCAAAGCUGUUCGGUGCCGCAG